rnacentral:rRNA from 1 species
UGGGCGGGACGGGUGAGUAAUGUCUGGGAAACUGCCCGAUGGAGGGGGAUAACUACUGGAAACGGUAGCUAAUACCGCAUAACGUCGCAAGACCAAAGAGGGGGACCUUAGGGCCUCUUGCCAUCGGAUGUGCCCAGAUGGGAUUAGCUAGUAGGUGGGGUAACGGCUCACCUAGGCGACGAUCCCUAGCUGGUCUGAGAGGAUGACCAGCCACACUGGAACUGAGACACGGUCCAG